rnacentral:ribozyme from 12 species
AAUAACAAGAAGAAGAAGAAUGAUAAUGAUGAUACAAAGAAAUAUCUCAUGUUGGUGCUUUUCUUGUUGCUUGGAUGUUUCCUUUUCUGUUCUUGUCCUU